UACGAAGGGGGCUAGCGUUGCUCGGAAUCACUGGGCGUAAAGCGCACGUAGGCGGCUCUUUAAGUCAGGGGUGAAAUCCUGGAGCUCAACUCCAGAACUGCCCUUGAUACUGAAGAUCUUGAGUUCGGGAGAGGUGAGUGGAACUGCGAGUGUAGAGGUGAAAUUCGUAGAUAUUCGCAAGAACACCAGUGGCGAAGGCGGCUCACUGGCCCGAUACUGACGCUGAGGCACGAAAGCGUGGGGAGCAAACAGG
rnacentral:rRNA from 1 species